UACGUAGGUGGCAAGCGUUUGUCCGGAUUUAUUGGGCGUAAAGCGCGCGCAGGCGGUCUUUUAAGUCUGAUGUGAAAUCUCGCGGCUCAACCGCGAGCGGUCAUUGGAAACUGGGGGACUUGAGUGCGAGAAGAGAAGAGCGGAAUUCCACGUGUAGCGGUGAAAUGCGUAGAGAUGUGGAGGAACACCAGUGGCGAAGGCGGCUCUUUGGUCUGUAACUGACGCUGAGGCGCGAAAGCGUGGGGAGCAAACAGG
rnacentral:rRNA from 1 species